AGCGAACGCUGGCGGCAGGCCUAACACAUGCAAGUCGAACGAAGUCUUCGGACUUAGUGGCGGACGGGUGAGUAACACGUGGGAACGUGCCUUUAGGUUCGGAAUAACUCAGGGAAACUUGUGCUAAUACCGAAUGUGCCCUUCGGGGGAAGGAUUUAUCGCCUUUAGAGCGGCCCGCGUCUGAUCAGCUAGUUGGUGAGGUAAAGGCUCACCAAGGCUACGAUCAGUAGCUGGUCUGAGAGGAUGACCAGCCACAUUGGGACUGAGACACGGCCCAAACUCCUACGGGAGGCAGCAGUGGGGAAUCUUGCGCAAUGGGCGAAAGCCUGACGCAGCCAUGCCGCGUGGAUGAUGAAGGUCUUAGGAUUGUAAAAUCCUUUCACCGGUGAAGAUAAUGACUGUAGCCGGAGAAGAAGCCCCGGCUAACUUCGUGCCAGCCGCCGCCGUAAAAC
rnacentral:rRNA from 1 species